CUGGAUAUGAGACGUGUCACGGCAACAGUUACUUUAAGCCCUGCAGGUAGAUUGAACACGGGACAAAAGAGUCCUGUCUUGUGACUGAGUCGGCGUGCGUGUUUCUGCGCUCCCGCCUUUCACUCUCUCAGACAGUAAUCUCAGUGAAACUUCGACCUCCGAACCAAGAUGAGGAGGAGAGAGGGAGGCCCGGAGCAGUGCUGACCCAAACAGUGGCCCCAGCCUAUACCUUGUGGUCACACGGCUGACACUCCUCCAUGCGGGGUUGCCUAGCAACACUGUGCGGUCACGGCACCUGUGAUUGCGCUGCACUUGCAUUUGAUCACAUGGAGUUUGAACAGCUGAUACAGGCUCCCCAGCAUUACGCACUCCUGCCAUUGAGCGCCCGGCUCCCCAGCAUUACGCACUCCUGCCAUCGAGCGCCAGGCUCCCCAGCAUUUCGCACGCCUGCCAUUGAGCGCCAGGCUCACCAGCAUUACGCACUCCUGCCAUCGAGCGCCAGGCUCCCCAGCAAUACGCACUCCUGCCAUUGAGCGCCAGGCUCCCCAGCAAUACGCACUCCUGCCAUUGAGCGCCAGGCUCCCCAGCAAUACGCACUCCUGCCAUCGAGCGCCAGGCCAGCAUUACGCACACCUGCCUCCCCCCCAUCACGCACUUCAGCGAUUAUUGGACUCACUCACCUCUGUUAUUAACCUCCUAUAUCUGUCUGUUCCCCCGCUCUGUUCCCCGCUUCAGCAUUGCUUGUCAUAUGUCCUUGUAUACCCGUGUGCUGAUGUUAUUCCUGUCUUGUUUCAUGUCUGUUCAUUGUUAAAUAUUGACUCCCCGUACCUGCUUCUCAUCUCCGGCGUCAGUCUUGACAUGUUUCCAUACAUGUUUCAUUUUAAACAUUUUUCUUACAAAUGAGUUGUUUAAUCUAACCGCUUAACUAUUUAUCUACAUGGAAUUGUCUUUGGGAUUUUUUUACUCAUUUUUUACAGGAAAAUGCCACGGGCACUAUCUGAUGUGUGGAGACAUUUCACUGCAGCUAAUGUAGAAGGAAAAGCUGUGUACAUGGGCAAAUACUGUGCCAAAUCAUCUGUGAAGAAUGCAACAAAGAUGGAUAAUCAUCUGGCCAAGUGCAUAAAGUUCCCCCAGCGCUCACAACAAGCAACCUCUGGCAAAAGACCCUCUACUUCUAUUUAAGGUGAAAAUGGUGAAUCGGACACCUUAUCGAUAGCAACAGCUCAUGGUCCUGCUGGAAUCAGAAUUUGUUGACUCAAUGGAGGAACGUAGUCAGAGAAAUGCUGAUGAAUAUGUUGCUCAAGCUAUGUAUGCAACUGGUUUACCUCUGAUGUUCACAGGCAAUGUGUAUUGGGAGAGACUUCUGAAUGUUCUUCACCCAGCAUACACCCCUCCAACCAGACAUGCUUUUUCUACUCAUUUGCUAGAUGCAGAUUUCAAGCAAAGGUCAAGCAAAUCAUAGAGAAAGCAGACUGUAUUGCAAUCAUCUCUGAUGGGUGGAUCAAAUGUUUGUGGGCAAGGAAUAAUUAACUACAUCAUCUCCACCCCUCAACCAUUAUACUACAAAAGCACAGACACAGGGGACAACGGACACACCGGUCUCUACAUUGCAGAUAAGCUGUAGGCAGUCUUCAAUGACCUUGGCCCACAGAAGGUAUUUGCACUGGUGACCGAAACAAUGCUGCGAACAUGAAGGCUGCUUGGUCUGAAGUGGAGGAGUCCUACCCUCACAUCACACCCAUUGGCUGUGCUGCUCAUGCAUUGAAUUUGCUACUCAAGGACAUCAUGGCACUGAAAACAAUGGAUGCGCUCUACAAGAGAGCCAAUGAAAUGGUUAGGUAUGUGAAGGGCCAUCAAGGUAUAGCAGCAAUCUACCUCACCAAGCAAAGUGAGAAGAAUAAGAGCACCACAUUGAAGCUGCCCAGCAACACCCGUUGGGGGUGGGGUUGUCAUCAUGUUUGACAGUUCCCUGGAGGGAAAGGAGUCUCUCCAAGAAAUUGCCAUAUCACAGCCCCAUCAAGAGGAUCCUCCUGGAUUAUGUAUUUUGGGAGAAAGUGGUAAGCAGACUGAAACUCCUGAAACCUAUAACAGUAGCCAUUACACGGAUUGAAGGAGACAAUGCCAUCCCGUCUGACGUUCAGACUCUGCUUGCAGAUGUAAGAGAAGAAAUCAGUAACACCCUGCCCAUUUCACUGUUGCUCCAAGCAAAGAAAACUGCAGUUCUGAAAUACAUAAAGCGUGAAGACUUCUGCCUGAAGCCCGUACACACUGCAGCGUUCAUGUUGGACCCCAAGUAUGCUGGCAAGAGCGUCCUGUCUGGUGCAGAGAUCAACAAGGCCUAUGGUGUCAUCACUACCGUGUUUCGCCACCGUGGCCUGGAUGAGGGCAAGGUUCUUGCCACUUCCAAGCAACGGCUUUGGGAUGGAGAUGCAAUAUGGCAGUCGUGCCAACAUAUCUCAUCAGCCACCUGGUGGAAGGGACAUUGUGGGUCUGAGGCUCUUUCCCCUGCUGCCUCCAUCAUCCUGCAAAUCCCACCAACAUCAGCCGCCUCAGAGUGCAACUGGUCCUUGUUUGGGAACACACACACACACACCAAAGCCCGCAACAGGCUGACCAAUACAAGGGUUGAAAAAUCGGUGGCCAUCCGGGCAAAUUUGAGUCUUUUUGAGCCUGACAACGAGCCAUCCUCAACAAGGUUGGAAAGUGACAGUGAAGAUGAGGCCUCAGUCUGAUGUUCAAGAGGUGGACAUUAAGGAGGUCCAGGGAGAAGACAUGGAAGCCUGAGAGGAAGACAACCAAAGCUUUAGUUUCUAGUCUAUCAUUUUACAGAUGUUUGUUGAAAACGUUUUUGGGAGAUGCGAUGGAUCAUUCAAUAUUCCUUUUCUUUUGUUGUUUAGUGAAAUCAUCCCAUGUGAAGAGUCAACUCACUUAAUUAAAGUUCAAUUCGUAACUAAAUGUUUUUUUGUUCUAUUGAAAGGAUUUAAUCAUUUGCAAUUAUGUCUACUUAUGAUAAGGUAAAAGGUUUAUGUUUCUGUCUCCAUAUGAUAUGGUAACUAUAUCCAAUGCAAAAAACAUCUACAUUUAAAUAGUAUUAAUAUUAAUAAUAUUCCCAUUAAUUCCCAUAUAUUCCCGUUAAUUCCCACGGAAAGUUUCCACCUCUGAAUAUUCCUCAAAAUGUGCAAUCCUAUUCCCCACUCAUCUGAAACACAGAGAGAUGCUACAAGAAUGAACAUUAAAAAUGAGCAAGAUGGUGACAAAAGAAGGCACUAUAUCACUCCAUUAUAUGUCCUAAGCUUGUUUACAUGUUUGCUGGUUUAAAACAAGAGGUUAAGUGUAGAGUUGUUAAUUGCCAGCAGCUUUUCAGUGUUUUGAAUGCAGCUUUACCACAGCAAUCAAGU